rfam:Medicago truncatula strain A17 chromosome 1, whole genome shotgun sequence.
CCCAUAAAUAUUAAAAGGUCCGUUUAGGUCCCUUAACUUUAUUUAAAGUAUCGGUUUGGUCCCUUUUGUUAAUUUAAUUCAAAAAAUCGUUAAGUUUACGGAUCAAAUUAAUACUAAUUAAAUAAGUUAAGGGACCAAACUAAUAUUAAUUAAAUAAGUUAAGGAAGCAAAAUUUAACAUUUUUUUGAAUUAAAUUAACAGAAAGGACCAAACCGAUACUUUAAAUAAAGUUAAGGGAUCUAAACGAACCUUUUAUUACUUAUGGGA